UACGGAGGAUCCUAGCGUUAUCCGGAUUUACUGGGUUUAAAGGGUGCGUAGGCGGACCCCUAAGUCCGCGGUGAAAGUCUGCGGCUCAACCGUAGGAUUGCCGUGGAUACUGGGGGUCUUGGAUUCGGUCGGGGCGGGCGGAAUGCGUGGUGUAGCGGUGAAAUGCAUAGAUAUCACGCAGAACGCCGAUAGCGAAGGCAGCUCGCCGGGCCGAUAUUGACGCUGAGGCACGAAAGCGUGGGGAUCAAACAGG
rnacentral:rRNA from 1 species